rnacentral:rRNA from 1 species
AGAGUUUGAUCCUGGCUCAGGAUGAACGCUAGCGACAGGCUUAACACAUGCAAGUCGAGGGGCAUCGGGGAGUAGCAAUACUCUGCCGGCGACCGGCGCACGGGUGAGUAACGCGUAUGGAACCUGCCCUGUACAGGGGAAUAGCCCAUGGAAACGUGGAUUAAUGUCCCAUAUGACAUUCGGGAGGCAUCUUUCGGGUGUAAAAUUUUCGGAGGUACAGGAUGGCCAUGCGUCCUAUUAGAUAGUUGGCGGGGUAACGGCCCACCAAGUCGAUGAUAGGUAGGGGUUCUGAGAGGAAGGUCCCCCACAUUGGAACUGAGACACGGUCCAAACUCCUACGGGAGGCAGCAGUGAGGAAUAUUGGUCAAUGGGCGCGAGCCUGAACCAGCCAAGUCGCGUGAGGGAAGACUGCCCUAUGGGUUGUAAACCUCUUUUAUUCGGGAAGAAUAAGCCUUACGAGUAGGGUGAUGCCUGUACCGAAUGAAUAAGCAUCGGCUAACUCCGUGCCAGCAGCCGCGGUAAUACGGAGGACGCGAGCGUUAUCCGGAUUUAUUGGGUUUAAAGGGUGCGUAGGCGGAAUAUCAAGUCAGCGGUAAAAAUUCGGGGCUCAACCCCGUCGUGCCGUUGAAACUGAUGUUCUUGAGUGGGCGAGAAGUAUGCGGAAUGCGCGGUGUAGCGGUGAAAUGCAUAGAUAUCGCGCAGAACUCCGAUUGCGAAGGCAGCAUGCCGGCUCCACACUGACGCUGAGGCACGAAAGCGUGGGUAUCGAACAGGAUUAGAUACCCUGGUAGUCCACGCAGUAAACGAUGAAUGCUGGCUGUCCGGGGGGAUUGACCCCUGGGUGGCGAAGCGAAAGCGAUAAGCAUUCCACCUGGGGAGUACGCCGGCAACGGUGAAACUCAAAGGAAUUGACGGGGGCCCGCACAAGCGGAGGAACAUGUGGUUUAAUUCGAUGAUACGCGAGGAACCUUACCCGGGCUCAAACGGGGAGUGACUCAGGCAGAGACGCCUGUUUCCCACGGGACACUCCCCGAGGUGCUGCAUGGUUGUCGUCAGCUCGUGCCGUGAGGUGUCGGCUUAAGUGCCAUAACGAGCGCAACCCCCGCGUGCAGUUGCUAACAGAUAACGCUGAGGACUCUGCACGGACUGCCGGCGCAAGCCGCGAGGAAGGCGGGGAUGACGUCAAAUCAGCACGGCCCUUACGUCCGGGGCGACACACGUGUUACAAUGGGUGGUACAGCGGGAAGCCAGGCGGCGACGCCGAGCGGAACCCGAAAUCCACUCUCAGUUCGGAUCGGAGUCUGCAACCCGACUCCGUGAAGCUGGAUUCGCUAGUAAUCGCGAAUCAGAAUGUCGCGGUGAAUACAAUCCCGGGUCUUGCACUCACCGCCCGUCA